CAUGAAGCCGGAAUCGCUAGUAAUCGCAGAUCAGCAUGCUGCGGUGAAUACGUUCCCGGGUCUUGUACACACCGCCCGUCACACCAUGGGAGCCGGGAAUGCCCGAAGUCGGUGACCCAACCGAAAGGAGGGAGCCGCCGAAGGCAGGUCUGGUAACUGGGGUGAAGUCGUAACAAGGUAGC
rnacentral:rRNA from 1 species